rnacentral:tRNA from 1 species
GGAGAGGUGUCCGAGGGGUCGAAGGUGACAGUCUCGAAAACUGUUAUAGGGCAACCUAUCGAGGGUUCGAAUCCCUCUCUCUCCG